UACGUAGGGGGCAAGCGUUUGUCCGGAUUUAUUGGGCGUAAAGAGCGUGUAGGCGGCCAGGGAGGUCCGUUGUGAAAACUCGAGGCUCAACCUCGAGACGCCGAUGGAAACCCCCUGGCUAGAGUCCGGAAGAGGAGAGUGGAAUUCCUGGUGUAGCGGUGAAAUGCGCAGAUAUCAGGAAGAACACCCGUGGCUAAGGCGGCUCUCUAGUACGGUACUGACGCUGAGACGCGAAAGCGUGGGGAGCGAACAGG
rnacentral:rRNA from 1 species